rnacentral:rRNA from 1 species
AUUGAACGCUGGCGGCAUGCUUUACACAUGCCAGUCGAACGGCAGCACGAAAGAGCUUGCUCUUUUGGUGGCGAGUGGCGAACGGGUGAGUAAUGCAUCGGAACGUACCGAGUAAUGGGGGAUAACUGUCCGAAAGGAUAGCUAAUACCGCAUACGCUUUGAGAAGGAAAGUGGGGGCUCUUCGGACCUCACGUUAUUCGAGCGGCCGAUGUCUGAUUAGCUAGUUGGUGGGGUAAAGGCCUACCAAGGCGACGAUCAGUAGCGGGUCUGAGAGGAUGAUCCGCCACACUGGGACUGAGACACGGCCCAGACUCCUACGGGAGGCAGCAGUGGGGAAUUUUGGACAAUGGGCGCAAGCCUGAUCCAGCCAUGCCGCGUGUCUGAAGAAGGCCUUCGGGUUGUAAAGGACUUUUGUUAGGGAAGAAAAGGAUAGUGUUAAUACCAUUAUCUGCUGACGGUACCUAAAGAAUAAGCACCGGCUAACUACGUG